CACCAUAUGUAGAUCUGGCUGGGAGCCCCGCCGUCGACGAGGGCCACACCGGCGAUCUCGCGCAACCUACCUGCCUCCUGUUUCCUCUCCGUUCUCCUCCUUCUCUCUCCGAUCCUUGUUCAUCCGCGGCCGCCCGAGCUCGCCACGAUUCAUGGCCCUCUCCUUCUGCCAACUCUGGUCCGUCGCCGGUCGUCUGUGGCACGAGCGUCGCGCCUCCUCCUCGACCUCCUCGAUCCGCGAUGCCCUGACUGCACUACACACGUGCGCCUCGCAAUCCAUGACCGCCUUUUGCCGAGCUGCGGGAUCGACGUCUGACCACCACCAUGACCGGCCUCUUGCGAAGGUCCCGGUCGCAGUCUCCUAUGCCUUUGGACCUUGGGAGCGACUGGGUGAUUAUAUGCCAGACGCCAAAAGCAAUAUUGCAACACCAUGCGUGAGGAACAUGAUUCUGCCAGUAUUUAAGCAUUAUACUUGCUAACACUGAGAGCUUAAUUAUCUUUGAUGCAACCAGUCCGUCCAAGCAUCCAAAUAGUUGAUUUGGGAUGUAGAGAUUAAAGAACAGUAGGACGUCAGGUUCAGAAUUGCCUUGGCAUCUUCCAGUGUGGGACGAUGUUGAUUGUCGGGAUUUGAAGAUAUGUGUGCCCCCAUACCGUGGUUGAGCCUGUCGGUUUCGCACAGUGGCUGCACGACACCUCAUGGACCCGAUGUGAAGGACAAGUAAGCCAUCCACACGAAGUCGGCGGCAGCAAGGGUGUGGGGCGUCGGGAGGAGCAUCUGGGUUGAAGGUUCUGGCCCUCGCCAUUGAGACUACCGUGUUCGUCGCCGAGUACAUCUGGUCAAGAACAAUUGAUUUUAUCGGCAACAGGAGGCGCUUAUCAGUCGCCAUCAAGUGCCUCAACCAGUGCGGCGUCCAGCAUGUUUGGGCUGGGGAGACAGAGAUGGUAUGCGGAGUAAGAAGAGUGAUUUAAGGGGAGAGAAAUCAUAACAGGGGUUGGUGGAGCAGAAGAGGGCGAAGGAAGACUUGUGGGGAGCUGCGAGGAAUAGAUUUUGGGGUAUGUUACUGUUUUAUGUGUGAUAUCAGUUCAUAAUUUACUGCAGCGGUCAGUUCUCUACUUUCUAUGUACUAGGUUAAUUCUAUUUGCUAGCCUUAAGUGUUUUUUCUAUACCAACUAAAUAUUGUGAAAGUAACCCUGAAACAUACACACAUCUACUAAAUGCAAAAUUGUUUCUCUGUUGAUACGAACAAUCAUGUAGAUUACUGCAUGUAGUUUCGUUUUGCACACAACAUACUCUCCAGUAGUGCCGAAAUUAGAAUCUCAAUCCCUGUCCAUUAUACAAGAUGCAAAAGAGUUCAGAAUAAGAUAUUCAUCAUCAUAUUCACGCAUUUUCCGUUGUAAUAUAUAUUUUGUAUUUGUGUACAGGUUGACACAUUACACAUACAUACAGUAUGUCUGACUUAUGCAGAAGAAAAGGGACCCUUCAUAUAAAUUAUUUGCAUGCUCAUAGUUAUGAACUUAAUACACUUUGCCUGGCAUUCAUAACCAUUAUACUUCCUCCUGCCCAAAUUUGUUGUCCUACGUAAUAGUGUUCCACUUUGCGCCUACCACUGGUAGCUGGAAAUUAGAUAUAAUAAUAAUCAGUUUCCUUGCUAGAUUUGUUUCCUUAUAGGAUAUCCUGCCGAUUUGAUCUAUUUUUGGCUAGAGCACAUGGGAUCAAACCAGAGGUAAUCAAUUUUCUAUGUUCACCUGAUUAGUUAUAAGGAAUUUAUUACCUCUGUUUUAUUUCCAGGAUACCAAAACCAGUGGUAACGUUUUUUAUGGCUUUGAAAUUCUGUACAAGGUAAUUACUUGUGGUUUCAAGGUUGCGCAAAGGAGAGGAGGCAUGGUUCAAGGUCGUCUUCUGGCACUGGUUUGCCAGCUAGGUCCUCGACAACAUCUGCGCCUCAUAGGGCAGAUAUUCCACCGUGCAUUGUAUUUGACCAUACUUAACCAAGUUGAUUCAUAUCAAUAAGUAUCUUUUGGUUUUCUUCCAGUUUAUUAGGCAUGGUCCCAGACACAAAUUCUGAAGCUUCAAUAAUUUGGGUGGUCUAAUAGUUCCUGUAUAGCUUGAUGUUGUAUCAGGUGUAAUAUUUUGUUGUUGCUUGAUGUUGAAUCAAGACAAGCUAGGGUCAACAAGGAACAGAGGGGUUGACACAUGGAGAAGCGGGAGCAUAAAAUUCAAAAGGUAUUGAACAUGUGUAUGGAUUACAUUGGUGAGUGAAUGGUGUGGCACAUUGAGUCAGAGAGGAGUAGUUGCUUGUCUGGUAUGAAAAACAGUUGUUUCUCGAUUAGAUUAAGGCGAAACUUAUCUUCAACAUGUGUGGUCUUUCAUCACCAUUUCAAAAGAGGUUCAAUGCAAAAUCCUCAGACUGCCAAUUUUUACUUCA